rnacentral:rRNA from 1 species
AUACGGAGGGUGCAAGCGUUAAUCGGAAUUACUGGGCGUAAAGGGCGCGUAGGCGGUCUAUCAAGUCAGGUGUGAAAUCCCACGGCUCAACCGUGGAGGUGCAUCUGAAACUGAUAGACUUGAGUAUGGGAGAGGAAAGUGGAAUUCCCGGUGUAGAGGUGAAAUUCGUAGAUAUCGGGAGGAACACCAGUGGCGAAGGCGACUUUCUGGACAAAUACUGACGCUGAGGCGCGAAAGCGUGGGGAGCAAACGGGAUUAGAAACCCUAGUAGUCC